UUUCCAGGAAAUCCAGAAACAGAGAAAGAGAUCCAGAUGUGCUUGGAUGCAAUGCUAUUCGGCGUCCAAGUGAGAUUAUAUGCCACCGACUUAAAACUGCAGGGUUUCCCAUACUCACUUGCCGUACCCUUCUUCCCCGAACAUGGAUCGGAUGAGUAUGUUUCUUUGGAGAAGAAAUUUAAGGACUUUGAAGCGCUGGAGAGGGAGGCGGCCCUGCAGAGGGAGAACAAUGAUGUAGUUGAUGCAGAACUGGAC